rnacentral:rRNA from 1 species
CUAGCAUAUCAAUAAGCGGAGGAAAAGAAACCAACAGGGAUUGCUCUAGUAACGGCGAGUGAAGCAGCAAUAGCUCAAAUUUGAAAUCUGGCGUCUUCGGCGUCCGAGUUGUAAUUUGUAGAGGAUGCUUCUGAGUAACCACCGACCUAAGUUCCUUGGAACAGGACGUCAUAGAGGGUGAGAAUCCCGUAUGCGGUCGGAAAGGUGCUCUACACGUAGCUCCUUCGACGAGUCGAGUUGUUUGGGAAUGCAGCUCUAAAUGGGAGGUAAAUUUCUUCUAAAGCUAAAUAUUGGCCAGAGACCGAUAGCGCACAAGUAGAGUGAUCGAAAGAUGAAAAGCACUUUGGAAAGAGAGUUAAAAAGCACGUGAAAUUGUUAAAAGGGAAGGGAUUGCAACCAGACUUGCUCGCGGUGUUCCGCCGGUCUUCUGACCGGUCUACUCGCCGCGUUGCAGGCCAGCAUCGUCUGGUGCCGCUGGAUAAGACUUGAGGAAUGUAGCUCCCUCGGGAGUGUUAUAGCCUCUUGUGAUGCAGCGAGCGCCGGGCGAGGUCCGCGCUUCGGCUAGGAUGCUGGCGUAAUGGUCGUAAUCCGCCCGUCUUGAAACACGGACCAAGGAGUCUAACAUCUAUGCGAGUGUUCGGGUGUCAAACCCCUACGCGUAAUGAAAGUGAACGGAGGUGAGAACCGCAAGGUGCAUCAUCGACCGAUCCUGAUGUCUUCGGAUGGAUUUGAGUAUGAGCAUAGCUGUUGGGACCCGAAAGAUGGUGAACUAUGCCUGAAUAGGGUGAAGCCAGAGGAAACUCUGGUGGAGGCUCGCAGCGGUUCUGACGUGCAAAUCGAUCGUCAAAUUUGGGUAUAGGGGCGAAAGACUAAUCGAACCAUCUAGUAGCUGGUUCCUGCCG